CGUGAAAAAGAAGAAAAAAGUUCCACGUUCCCAAAACGCCCUUGCAAGUGUAGAAAAGGGUCUGAAACUGUUUAUCACAUAUAUGUAAGAGAAAGAGGAAGGUUUGAGAUGGAAUCGGUUUUUCUAAGGUAAAAUUUUCAUUCCGUUGUAAUCCUCAAUUCCAUUCCCUCUUCGAUUACUGCAUACCAAACACUACCUAAGUUUGACCGACAGGUCAGGAAAUUUGACCAUGGAGGCGUUGGAAACCGCUAUUUUCUCAAAGUUCAAGUCUCUAAAACACGAA
rnacentral:lncRNA from 1 species